rnacentral:misc_RNA from 1 species
AACGCAUAUUGCGCCCGUCGGUAUUCCGGCGGGCAUGCCUGUUCGAGCGUCAUAUCACCACUCAAGCAUUGCUUGGUAUUGGGCCUAUCCUUGCCGCCUUCAAUGUGCGGUGAGGUGCCUGAAAAUCUGCUCUCCGGCGGCAGGAUCCCGUGGACGAGAUAUCGCCUGAGCGCUGUGGAAUUUUCAACCGCUCCGCGUGAGUCUUGACUAGGGGACCUCCUGUUAGCUGUUAAAAUAAUUCACAUCUAUGGUUUGACCUCGGAUCAGGUAAGGAUACCCGCUGAACUUAA